rnacentral:misc_RNA from 1 species
UUUCAUCCCCAAUCCCUCUAUAUAUACCCCUACCCGGGUGGAGCUCAUUCCACACACCAUUCCAUCUCAUUUUUCUCUUCCAAACUCCCCUUUCUUCACACAAUGUCGGGUUGGUCCCCAGAUUUGAACACCUUCACGGAUCUCUUGCAGUCCGAUGGGUCACCUACAACCCUUCCGUUAGAUGAGUCUUUUUCACUACAUCGUCGCCCCGAUGUUUCAGCCUCACUCCCCCGUGCACUAUUUCCGGCUGCGCGUCCACCACCAUACCCUUAUCCCUAUCAUUUGUAUCAAUAUCCACCGUCUUCAUAUGGUCAACCUCCAACUUCCCAAGCCGGAAUUCAAGCCUCAUUCCCGGUACGUCCGUAUGCCCCUCCUCCACCUGCUGCGGACGGAAGUCAAGCUUCUUUCCAGAUACCUCCAUACGCCCCUCCUUCAUAUGCUCCACCUCCGUAUGGAGUACCUCCUUAUGCUCCAUAUGCUCCACCUCCGUAUGGGGCACCUCAUCCAUAUGCUCCACCUACGUAUGGAGCACCUCCUCCAGUUGCAUCUUUAUCUGUUGGAUCUGAAAACCAAGCUGAGGAAAAUCCCGUGCCGAAGGAAAAGCGUCCAAAGAGGCUAGAGUGGACGAAGGAAGACGAGGAAAAGCUGGUGAGUGAAUCGUUUCUCAUUUAUUUAAUCUUAAUUUUUUUAGUUUACUUAUAUUAUAGGUUUUAUUGUAGGUUAAUGCUUGGUUUAUGCAUUCUAAUGAUCCCAUCUCCGGCAACAAUAAGAGUGGAUCAAGUUUCUGGGGCCAAAUAGCGGCAACAUAUAACUCCACCUCCGACCCUAUCCGUCAUCGAACCGCCAAGCAACUUAAAGAUCAUUGGGUCACCUACAACCGGGAGGUGACCAAGUUCAAUGGAUUCUACCUCCAAGAAGAAAGGUUGCGUCAGAGCGGAGCUGACGAUGCAAUGGUCAUGGAUGCAGCAAUGACGAGGUUCGAGGGUAAAAUGGGGCAUCCAUUUAAGCGCCAUCAUUGGUGGCAAGUUGUUCGCCACGAGCCCAAGUGGUCAGCAAAGCAUGGUCUUGGUAGUGGAUCUGAUUCGACUGCGAAUAAGAGAACCCGACUCGGAGUCUCUGGUGAAUAUAGUUCUGGAGGCACUGAAGACACCGAGGAGGAAGUGCCCCGACCAGUGGGGCGUGAUAGGGCAAAGGCGGCUGCGCGAAAGACAAAGACGAAGGGGAAAGGGAAGAAAGCCACGAGCAGCGAAUCAACAAGUGAAGCAUUCAAAAUGAAGAACUUGUGGGGUGGAUUAGUGAAGGCCAAGCUUUUGAAGCAAUGGAACAUCCUAAAGGGCCGAUCAACCAGAGAUAUGGACCCGGCUGAAAGACGUACCCAUGGCAGGGCCGUAAAGAUGGUCGAAAAAGAACUUGGUCUGCUAGAUGACGAAGAAGAGG